CUCGGUCACCAGGCGGCAGCACCGGCAUCACCGAUCAUGCAGCGAGCUGAGCGAGCGAGCCUGACUGAAGUUGCGCGGCCAUGUUUUUUGUGUGAAAGUGUUGUUUUCAACGGAUAGAAGAAUUUUUGCGGUUUAAAAAGUGACGGUUAAGCCGCUUGGAGACCUUGGAGGUCUGAAAUCUCAGCAACUACAGACUGCAGGGUGUCAAUUCUGGCCGUAAACAUCUGGAUUUUGUCCCAAGCAGUCACAAAAGGCUGAUUGUGAGACUGAGUGGCCCGAGAUCAACAUGUACUGGCGCUCGUCAUGUCCACUUCUCAUUUGGACAGCAUCACGUCGAGCACACUACCCAGAUCCAUUUCAACCUUUCAGAGGGAUGCCACAUGUGGACCAGGGAGCCAGUUUCCUAUAUCUCAGCGUAGACACCUCUGGAAAUGUGAUCGCACACAGCCGUCGUCAUUUUCAACGCAGUUGCUAAGACUGGCAACGUGACGAGCCUCCAGUCAUCAAUGUCAUCAACAUUGACGCUGUCUACCUCGUAAACCAAUCGUGACUCGAGGAGCUCAAAUAUCCGGGUUUUUUAGUUUGAUUUCUUACUUUUGGGUAGGGUAACCAAGAUGUUUAAAUCUGCAAGCACACUCACAUGUUUUUUAAUAAUAAAUAUAAAUAUUAUAUUCAGAAAAAAAUUAUCUUCCGUAGUUCGAAGAGCAAUUUUAAUAAUUUCAACCUUUAUUAUUGUGGGGAAGCAUAAAGGGAAUUUCCUUAAUCUAAAAAAGUUGUUUAGAAUGAAAUUCCUGAAAUU